AGUACCUGUGGAGGCCAGAAGGAG
rnacentral:piRNA from 1 species